rnacentral:misc_RNA from 1 species
GAUGAAGAACGUAGCGAAAUGCGAUACGUAAUGUGAAUUGCAGAUCUCUCAGUGAACCAUCGAAUUUUUGAACGCACAUUGCGCCCCCUGGUAUUCCGGGGGGCAUGCCUGUCCGAGCGUCAUUGCUGCCCAUCAAGCACGGCUUGUGUGUUGGGUCCUCGUCCCCCCCGGGGGACGUGCCCGAAAGGCAGCGGCGGCACCGCGUCCGGUCCUCGAGCGUAUGGGGCUUUGUCACCCGCUCUGCAGGCCCGGCCGGCGCUGGCCGACGCGAAAGCAACCAUUUUUUCUCCAGGUUGACCUCGGAUCAGGUAGGGAUACCCGCUGAACUUAAGCAUAUCAAUAAGCGGAGGA